UGAGACACGGCCCAUACACCUACGGGUGGCUGCAGUCGAGAAUCUUCCGCAAUGGACGAAAGUCUGACGGAGCGACGCCGCGUGGAUGAUGAAGCACUUCGGUGCGUAAAAUCCUUUUGCCAGGGAGAAAGUUUAUUGAUAGUACUUGGCGAAUAAGAGGUUGCUAAACUCGUGCCAGCAGCAGCGGUAAUACGAGUGCCUCAAGCGUUAUCCGGAAUCAUUGGGCGUAAAGGGUGUGUAGGUGGUCAUAUUAGUCUUCUGUUAAAUUCUUCGGCUUAACCGGGGGCAUGCAGGGGAAACGGUAUGACUUGAGGAUGCGAGGGGUCUGUGGAACUCUAGGUGUAGCGGUGAAAUGCGUUGAUAUCUAGGGGAACACCAAAAGCGAAGGCAGCAGACUGGAGCACUCCUGACACUGAAACACGAAAGCGUGGGUAGCGAAUGGGAUUAGAUACCCCAGUAGUCCACGCCCUAAACGAUGUUCAUUAGCUAUUCGGAGUAUCGACCCUCUGAGUGGCGUAGCUAACGCGUUAAAUGAACCGCCUGGGUAGUACGACCGCAAGGUUAAAACUCAAAGGAAUAGACGGGGACUUGCACAAGCGGAGGAUCAUGUGGUUUAAUUCGAUGGUAAACGAAGAACCUUACCAGGGUUAGAAAUCUAGUUGAAGACGAGCAGAAACGUUCGUCGCCGCAAGGCAAUUAGACAGGUGCUGCAUGGUCGUCGUCAGUUCGUGAUUUGAAUUGUUCCCUUCAGUGGGGUAACGAACGCAACCCUCGUUGCCUGUUAUAAGUGUCAGGCGAGACUGCCCACGACAGAGAGCAUGAGUCAUAUAUUUAAAUGUAUAUGCUUCGUGACCUGUGUCGUGGGAGGAAGGUGAGGAUGACGCCAGAUCAGCAUGGCCCUUUGAUACCCUGGGCUACACACGUGAUACAAUGGCAUCUACAACGGGAUGCGACGGGGAAACCCUGAGCAAAUCCUUAGAAAGGGUGCCUAAGUUCGGAUAGAGGUCUGCAACUCGACCUCUUGAAGUUGGAUUCGCUAGUAAUCUCGGGUCAGCCAUACCGAGGUGAAUACGUUCUCAAGUCUUGUACUCACCGCCCGUCAACUCAAGGGAGUUGGG
rnacentral:rRNA from 1 species